AGAGUUUGAUCAUGGCUCAGAACGAACGCUGGCGGCGUGCUUAAUACAUGCAAGUCGAACGUGAAAUCCGCUUUCGGGCGGAGAGUAAAGUGGCGCACGGGUGAGUAACGCGUGGAUAAUCUACCCUGAGGCCCGGGAUAACUCGCCGAAAGGCGGGCUAAUACCGGAUAAUGUCCCAUUACCCAAGUAAUGUGACCAUAGGAGGCCCUGCUUCCGCCACAGGAUGAGUCCGCGUACCAUUAGCUAGUUGGUAGGGUAAUGGCCUACCAAGGCUACGAUGGUUAGCUGGUCUGAGAGGACGAUCAGCCACACUGGAACUGAGACACGGUCCAGACUCCUACGGGAGGCAGCAGUAGGGAAUAUUGCGCAAUGGGGGAAACCCUGACGCAGCGACGCCGCGUGAGCGAUGAAGGCCUUCGGGUCGUAAAGCUCUGUCAGGUGGGAAGAACCCUCCGUCGGUGAAUAAUCGGCGGAGCUGACGGUACCACCAGAGGAAGCACCGGCUAACUCCGUGCCAGCAGCCGCGGUAGCACGGAGGGUGCAAGCGUUGUUCGGAAUCACUGGGCGUAAAGGACGCGCAGGCGGCCCGGUAAGUCGGAAGUGAAAUCCGUCGGCUCAACCGACGAACGGCUUCCGAUACUGCCGGGCUUGAGUACGGGAGAGGAAAGCGGAAUUCCCAGUGUAGAGGUGAAAUUCGUAGAUNUUGGGAANAACACCGGUGGCGAAGGCGGCUUUCUGGACCGAUACCGACGCUGAGGCGUGAAAGCGUGGGGAGCAAACAGGAUUANAUNNCCUGGUAGUCCACGCUGUAAACGGNGAGUACUAGGUGUAGGGGGUACCGACCCCCCUGNGCC
rnacentral:rRNA from 1 species